rnacentral:rRNA from 1 species
AAUUAACGCUGGCAGAGUGCAUAACACAUGCAAGUCGAGCGAGGUGGCGGCUUAUCGCGCCUAGCGGCAGACGAGUGAGUAACACGUAAACAAUCUACCCUUGAAUGGCGAAUAACCAAUCGAAAGGCUGGCUAAUGCGCCGUACUCUCCCUUGAAGGCAUCUUCGAGGGAGGAGAGAUCCGCAAGGACCGUUCUUGGAGGAGUUUGCGGCCCAUCAGCUAGUUGGCGGUGUAAUAGACCACCAAGGCUACGACGGGUACCCGGCCUGAAAGGGCGGACGGGCACGAUGGCACUGAGACACGGGCCAUACUCCUACGGGA